rnacentral:rRNA from 1 species
UACGGGAGGUGGCAAGCGUUGCUCGGAAUCACUGGGCGUAAAGGGCGCGUAGGCGGGGAGGUAAGUCGGGUGUGAAAUCCCUCGGCCCAACCGAGGAACUGCGCCCGAGACUGCUUCUCUUGAGUCCCGGAGAGGAAGAUGGAAUUCCCGGUGUAGCGGUGAAAUGUGUAGAGAUCGGGAGGAACACCGGUGGCGAAGGCGGUCUCUGGACGGUGACUGACGCUGAGGCGCGAAAGCGUGGGGAGCAAACGGG